ACAUGUCAUUUUUCAUAUCAGACCCUUUAUCGGCCCUCGUUCAUGACAUUAGCCCUCGAGCCUGCGGCUCUUGGGCUGAUAUCAUAACCUUGGGCCGAUAAAGGGUCUGAUAUGAAAAAUGCCAUGUAAUAA
rnacentral:sRNA from 1 species